GUUUUCUUCUUUAGCCUUGGAGUUGGCAGUGUUUUUUUUCUUAUGUAGUUUUAAGGUCUCUUUGGUAUAAAAGAGGGACGAAAGAUACCAGAAGGACAGUCAAACUCAUAAAUCGAAAACAAACUGACAACGUCAUGGCUAAAAAUGUAAAAGACAAACAGACAAACAAUAGUACACAUGACACAACAUAGAAAAAUACAGAAUAAGCAAGACGAACCCCACCAAAAACAAUUUGUGAUCUCGGGUGAUCCGGAAGGGUAAGCAGAUCUUUCUCCACAUGUGGCAUCCUUCGCCUGUUGAUAAGCCUGUUGAUACUAUUCUGAGAUCUCCAAAUAUUGUAUAAUUAAGCUGAUUUUAAAUGAUUGUUUAAUAACCACAAAAAACGAUGAUGUUAACAAAUAUCACCGUAAGACCUUUAACAAUAAAAAAUAACCGUAACGUAUAGUAAGAUAUAAAAGUUAUCAAUUUGACAUAAGUAACAUCACAAAAAUACUGAUCUCCGAGGAUAAUUCAAAACGGAAUGUUGCUAUUCAAAUGGUAAAAUCAAAAGCUCAAACACAUCGAACGAUUGUAAAACAACUCUCAUAUUCCUGACUUGGUACAGGCACUUUUUAUGUAGAAAAUGGGGGUUCGAACAUGGUGUUAUAGCUAGCUUAACCUCUCACUUGUAUGAUAGUCGUAUCAAAUUCCAUUAUAUUGACAACGAUGCGUGAGAAAAAAAAUGAUUUGUGUAAAAAUGUCGAAAACAGAGGUACACCAUUGUGUUAUAAUCUUAUUCUCUAUAAGACCAAACAAAUAUUUAACAAAUGUGUUUGCUUUACAGGCGAAUUUGAUGCGACUGCCAUACAAAGAGAGGUUUAGAUAGCUAUCAAACCAGGUUCGAUUCACCAUUUUCUACAUAAGAAAAUGCCUGUAGCAACUCAGGAAUAUGACAGUUGUUGUCAACUCGUUUUAUGUGUUGUUUGUUCUAUUGAUUUUUGCCAUUUGAUGAUGGAAUUUUCGUUUUGAAUUUUCCUCGGAGUUCAGCAC
rnacentral:lncRNA from 1 species